rnacentral:rRNA from 1 species
UUAUUCGUUACAUCCCUAGGCGACGAGUGGCUAAUACCCAUGAGUCACAAGUGUGAUCAGUAACUCUGCCCAGGAACCGUGAACAAAUUAAUGUGUUUAAGGCAAGCUCGUGUAUUCAAUACAUAGCUUGAAUAAUUUAGCAUGGAACCACUAUACCCUCCUUUUGGAGGGACCUGGUAAUAAAAGCUCGGCGGAGGACUCUGGUAUUGCGCACUUAGAGGUGAAAUUCCGAUAUUUCCGCAAGACGAACGGAUGCGUAGGCUGUCAUUGCCCAUCACACCUUUAUUGAUCAGGAACGAGAGUCAGGGGAUCGAAGAUGAUUAGACACCGUCGUAGUCCUGACUGUAAACUAUACUAACAAGAGUUUGUGUAGACACUACUCUGUAUGAUCUUCGCAGAAUCCAAGGGAAACCUCAAGUUUUUGGGUUCUGGGGGGAGUAUAGUCGCAAGGCCGAAACUUAAAGGAAUUGACGGAAAGGCACCACCAGGAGUGGAGUUUGCGGCUUAAUUCGACUCAACGCGGGGAAACUCACCAGGUUAGGACAGAGGAGAGAUUGACAGGUUGAGAGUCCUUUCUUGAUUCUUUGAUUGGUGGUGCAUGGCCGUUCUUAGUUCGUGGAGUGAUCUGUCUACUUAAUUGUGUUAACGAACGAGACCUUAACCUGCUAAUUAGCGCAUGGGUCGGUAAAACGAUCAUUUCACCCUUUGGGUGCUUGCUAUC